UAAAAAUAGACAUCCGAAGCGAAGGCUGUAAUGAUCCGGGAAAAAAGCCAGAUACAUGUGGUAUUGCUUACAUAAAGGUGAAUGGAAAUGAACACUCGAAACAAAGGAGAGGGCAUAAUGUUGUGGUCGUGGAUGCCGUAACAGGAAUUGUGCAAAACUCCGUGAAUUUCGAUACCCAUGGAAACGGUGCCGCUGGAACCCAGUUGAGAGACUUUCUCAACGCGAUUGCUGGAGAAAAAAUAAUCCUGAUUGCAGUCCAAGACGAGGGUUCACGCUUUCUUCAAAAGGCUUUUGAUGCUCUGACGAUAAUUGGUGGCUACCAUGUGAGCUCUCUCGAAUACCGAGGAUCAUACGCUCUCAUCGGAUAUCCGAGGGAAAAGAAGCCAUCUUAUGUUAAACAAGUACAGAGGAAGAGUGGCCAAGGACCAAGCGUGAUCUCCGCGACGGUUCCACUCA